GCUGAUGUAGUGUAGUGGUUAGCACGUGGGAUUUUGACCAGAGGUCUUCAAUGACAUUCAUCAACUUCCCGAGUCCCCGGUUCGAACCCGGGCAACAGCU
rnacentral:tRNA from 1 species